rnacentral:misc_RNA from 1 species
GUUUCCGUAGGUGAACCUGCGGAAGGAUCAUUAAAGAGUAAGGGUCUUCGGGCCCGAUCUCCAACCCUUUGUUUAACUACCAUGUUGCUUUGGCGGGCCCGUCUCACGACCGCCGGAAGUUUGGCUUCGACCAAACUUCUGGCCCGUGCCCGUCAAUGGCCCCUUCAAAUUCUUGAUCGAGUAUGAUGUCUUAGUUAAAAACUUAAUAGUUAAAACUUUCAACAACGGAUCUCUUGGUUCUG